rnacentral:misc_RNA from 1 species
UGUGCUAUGAUGCUGCGAUUAG